rnacentral:rRNA from 1 species
GAUGAACGCUGGCGGCGUGCCUAAUACAUGCAAGUAGAACGCUGAAGGAAGGAGCUUGCUCUUUCCGGAUGAGUUGCGAACGGGUGAGUAACGCGUAGGUAACCUGCCUGGUAGCGGGGGAUAACUAUUGGAAACGAUAGCUAAUACCGCAUAACAGUAGAUGUUGCAUGAUAUCUACUUAAAAGGUGCAAUUGCACCACUACCAGAUGGACCUGCGUUGUAUUAGCUAGUUGGUGAGGUAACGGCUCACCAGGGCGACGAUACAUAGCCGACCUGAGAGGGUGAUCGGCCACACUGGGACUGAGACACGGCCCAGACUCCUACGGGAGGCAGCAGUAGGGAAUCUUCGGCAAUGGACGGAAGUCUGACCGAGCAACGCCGCGUGAGUGAAGAGGGUUUUCGGAUCGUAAAGCUCUGUUGUAAGAGAAGAACGAGUGUGAGAGUGGAAAGUUCACACUGUGACGGUAUCUUACCAGAAAGGGACGGCUAACUACGUG